GACACACCUGUCUACGCCAUUUCAUAAACAACAGAAUCACAGGCAUGGGCUCAGACAUGUUUCUCAGUCCCUUAAUCAAUAAUUCUCUCUCCCUCUAUAUCUCACACACCCACACACACACACAUUCUCUCACACAAUAUAUAUCUAUAUUCGUUCUCCAACUUUUCGCUCCGCAAGUAUAUGAAGCUUUUCAUUCAGCUGCAUAAACGAUGAAAUCCGUGUACAUCAUUUUCUUAUGCUUCCUUAUAACAGUUCUCUGUCUUUCUUCCCACAAGAUCAGUACCGCUUCACGGACUUCUCUCCCAGGAAGACGACCCAUGAGAAAAUUAAGCAUGUCAUUGACCAACAACAAGGUUAAGUAUCAAAAGUUCAAGGUCGUUGAUGGAGACGGAGAGUCAGAAACAUCGAAGUUCCAAGAAAUUCCAGUUGUAAUCAACUUUUCAAACAGCAAGAGUGAUUUAGACGAACUUGUUUAUCACAUCGAUUACCAUGGAGUGACCACUCAUCCAAAUCCAACACCUAGACAUCCCACACCAUAGAUCAUUACUGAACCUUCUUGAUUGAGAGUUAUGCAGAUAUGAUGUACUUAUAUGUGUCAUGAAGGAACUCCUGAUUAAAGUUGUCGUUACUAUUGUUGCGGAAUUCAUGUUUCUUUUCAUCA